rnacentral:rRNA from 1 species
CGCCGCGUCGCGAUGAAGGCCCUUCGGGUCUAAAGCGCUUUUGAGAGGGACGAGAUAGGACGGUACCUCUGGGAAUAAGUCACGGCUAACUACGUGCCAGCAGCCGCGGUAAAACGUAGGUGGCAAGCGUUAUCCGGAUUCACUGGGCGUAAAGCGCGUGCAGGUGGCUUCGUAAGUUGGACGUUAAACCUCCCGGCCUAACCGGGAGGAGUCGUUCAAUACUGCGGGGCUGGAGGGCAGAAGAGGGGGGUGGAAUUGCUGGUGUAUGGUGAAAUGCGUAGAUAUCAGCAGGAACACCUGUGGCGAAAGCGGCCCCCUGGUCUGCUCCUGACACUCAGACUGCGAAAGCUAGGGGAGUGAACGGGAUUAGAAACCCCGGUAAUCCUAGCCGUAAACGAUGGAUGCUAGGUGUGGGUGGUAUUGACCCCAUCCGUGCCGAAGCUAACGCGUUAAGCAUCCCGCCUGGGGACUACGGCGCAAGGUUAAAACUCAAGGAAUUGACGGGGACCCGCACAAGCAGCGGAGCGUGUGGUUUAAUUCGAUGCUACAGCGGAAGAACCUUACCCAGGGUUUGACACUGCAGGUAGUAGUGAAAGCGAAAGCGGAACGAUCCUUCGGGGGAAGCCUGCACAGGUGCUGCAUGGCUGUCGUCACGGCUCGUGCCCGUUGGAGGUGUAAGGUUAAGUCCACUAAACGAGAGCGCAACCCCUGUCGCCAGUUACAUGUGUCU